AACGUAGGAAGCAAGCGUUAUCCGGAUUUACUGGGCGUAAAGGGCGCGUAGGCGGCCAACUAAGUCAGACGUGAAAUCCCCAGGCUCAACCUGGGAACUGCGUCUGAUACUGGAUGGCUUGAAUUCGGGAGAGGGGAUGCAGAAUUCCACGUGUAGCGGUGAAAUGCGUAGAGAUGUGGAGGAACACCAGUGGCGAAGGCGGCUCUUUGGUCUGUAACUGACGCUGAGGAGCGAAAGCGUGGGGAGCGAACAGG
rnacentral:rRNA from 1 species